CCACGUUUCACAGUGUGAUUGACCUAAUUUAGCAACGAUCCGAAAGAGUCGGCUCGAUCGAUUGAUCUCUGGAAAUAAAGUGAAAACUGGACCAUCCCUUGGAGUGGAGAAAAGUGGAAGUGUAAAAAGUGCGACGCUUCACCAUUCGACCUGAUCGUGAGAUGCUACGCGAACUACUACAUUUCAAGUGUGGAGCAACCUAAAGGAGAUUUAAGCAGAGACAUCCGAGCAACUUCUCCAUUACUCGGCAACGUCGGUGAGUUUGCACGUAUUUAGGUUAC